rnacentral:lncRNA from 1 species
UACAUAUACUUUCCCAGUAGCACCAUGUGCACCUGAAUCUGUCAUACAGUCGGCUGUAUGACCCUCAGAUACAUGCCUUGAGCCAGCCAGCAAUUGCCCAUUGCCCAAAGCUCACCCUUAACACUGUAGCCAAGUUACUUUAUCUCAACCUUGCUCAAGUUUUUGUUUCUACCGCUUGUUUCCUCAUCACCUCUAAUUUAGGGACGCGGGAAACAGCGCAAAGCCACCUGCAAAUUCCUUUCCCACACCCCUGUGUAAUUGCUUUACAUGUCUAUGGUCAGAUGCAAGGCAGAGUUCAAUCAAGUGCUAUGUGCUUAAAAUUUUAGGCAGAUGACCUGCAGAGGAACUAGGAACUGCUGAUAAUGCUGCUUUGGAGCAGUUCGUCCAGGCCAAUUGCUGUUCUACCCAACCAGCUUACAUCUGGGAAACCUGGCAAAGAAUACCUUAUCUUCCCGUUCCCUCUACCCCAGCUGUGCACAGACGAGACCUGGGAAGCCCAGGCAGGCCAGACAUGCUGGUUCACGUACACGACCUGUGUGUGAGCACGCAUGGCCCCACACACAGCUAGGCACACCAGCUCACAGGCAGCUAUUGUGUUUUGAACCCCCGCUUGCUGGAGGUUGACUUUAUCGUAUUAUUUACACCAUUCUUGCCAUAACAUUUCAAGAAAUGUUUUCCUCCAGGCGCAGGAUCACGCUGUUCCUUAUCACUUUUUAUCACUGUCACUUGGACACGAUCCCGGUCUUCGGGGCGCAGUAUCACACACACAGAGGAUUUAUCACCCUUUCAUCAGCGCCGCUUGGUCAUGGCCAACCUUCCAGCAGCUUUGCGUGACCAUGAGCAAUCCCUGACGGAUUUGGGCACCGUGUUUCUGGGCAGUCUGAGAUUAUUCCUGUCAGGCUGGUGGCCGGGGGGAGAGGGGCUCCGAGCCUCGAGUGUCGGUGACUCAAGCCCCCGGGGCGGGCGUUAACGGCGCCCAGGAGGGCUCUCAGCGCUCCCUCCCCAAAAACCACCCCCGGAGCCUGUCCACACCUCCCCGUCCCGCCCCGGGGCGGCCGGAGCCCCCCGCCGCCACCGCCCAAAGGGGGAGGAAGAGGCGGGCCGGGCUUCGCCGAGCGCCGACAUGUCGCAGCCGGGGCCUAAGGGCGCCGCGGCGCAAGGUGACAAAAAGGCAAGUGAAGCUUCUUCCAAAUCAGGAGAGAAAAAGGCAGAAACAGAGAAGAGUUCAACUAGUGCUAAUGUCACUCAGCCCCCCAAAACACAGACAAGCGGAGCACCUUCUACUGUCAAGGACAACACUGUAUAUUAAAGCAUAGAGCUGAGAAGAGGGAUUUUGAGCAACCUAUGAAAAAGGAGAGCUCUGCUACCGUGAUGAGUAUGUACUUUACUGUAAUGCAGUACUCCCUCGUGCAGAGUGGGAACCUGAGAAGAGUGCUGACAGUAUUGACACACUGCUUCUCGUACUUGAAUAUGACUGAAUGGAAAUAAAAUUCCUGUAUGUGCCA